rnacentral:rRNA from 1 species
UGGGGAAUAUUGCGCAAUGGGGGCAACCCUGACGCAGCAACGCCGCGUGCGGGACGAAGGCCUUCGGUUGUAAACCGCUUUCAGCAGGGAAGAACCAUGACGGUACCUGCAGAAGAAGCCCCGGCUAACUACGUGCC